rnacentral:rRNA from 1 species
CGGUGCCGCAGCUAACGCAUUAAGUACUCCGCCUGGGAAGUACGCUCGCAAGAGUGAAACUCAAAGGAAUUGACGGGGACCCGAACAAGUAGCGGAGCAUGUGGUUUAAUUCGAAGCAACGCGAAGAGCCUUACCUAAGCUUGACAUCCCAAUGACAUCUCCUUAAUCGGAGAGUUCCCUUCGGGGACAUUGGUGACAGGUGGUGCAUGGU